UCUCGAACUCCUGACUUUAAAUGACCCACCUCUGUCUCCCAAAGCGCUGGGAUUCCAGGCAGGAGCCACCGCACUAGGACCCAAGGCCCUUAAGUUUUAAGGCCUCAUUUUUCAGUCAGGUUUUCCUUGAUCCCCCGUAUUCAGCCAGUUGUUUUUAAGUUUGUGUUUAAGGAGAAACUAACAAUGAAAACGGACUCGUUGACGGAGGAAAAGUUGCAAUGCAGCCUCUGGUGCUGUUUGAGUGAUCCCUCUCCCUGGGGCCUGGCUGCGCUGCUGUGUUCUGGAAAGGCCCAUUGUACCGUGGAGGCGGCAGGAAUCCUAUGCAUCUUCUUCACCAAUAUGGUUUGUGGACUCUGAUGAGCCAAAUCUGACAUCAGUUCUGGAACACCUAGAAGAUACCAAGAACAAUAUUCGAACCUGUUUGCAAGGAGAAAGAAUGGUGGCUGCCAGAAUUCAAGAGGAGGAAAGGGUGAAGCCUUUUUGGAGAACGCAGAUGAUGGCCUUUUUGCAAGGUUUUGGAAGAUUUUCGUUUCAACGGACUAAAAGCUACUGCCAGUAGCCUCUAGACAGGCCUGGAAAGGCAGGGGAGGCCCUUCAGACCCCGUUUCCCCACUGCCCCUAACCCUACGGUGGGCUUGGCCUCAGGCCCCGCCCCGCC